rnacentral:rRNA from 1 species
AAUGAACGCUGGCGGCAGGCCUAACACAUGCAAGUCGAACGAGGCAGCAAUGCCUAGUGGCGGACGGGUGAGUAACGCGUGGGAACGUGCCCCUUGGUACGGAAUAGCCCUGGGAAACUGGGAGUAAUACCGUAUGUGGUCGAGAGACGAAAGAUUUAUCGCCAAGGGAUCGGCCCGCGUUGGAUUAGGUAGUUGGUGGGGUAAUGGCCUACCAAGCCGACGAUCCAUAGCUGGUUUGAGAGGAUGAUCAGCCACACUGGGACUGAGACACGGCCCAGACUCCUACGGGAGGCAGCAGUGGGGAAUCUUAGACAAUGGGGGAAACCCUGAUCUAGCCAUGCCGCGUGAUCGAUGAAGGCCUUAGGGUUGUAAAGAUCUUUCAGGUGGGAAGAUAAUGACGGUACCCACAGAAGAAGCCCCGGCUAACUCCGUGCCAGCCGCCGCGGUAA